ensembl:lncRNA
CACUUUGCCCAGGUCUGGUCUAGAGUGUGGGGUUGAGCUUGGAAGAGUGUGUCUGAAGUGUGUCUAGAGUGUGGGGGUGAACUUGGAGGAGUGUGUCUGGAGUGUGGAGGUGAACUUGGAGGAGUGUGUCUGGAGUGUGUCUAGAGUGUGUCUGGAGUGUGUCUAGAGUGUGGGGGUGAACUUGGAGGAGUGUGUUUGGAGUGUGUCUAGAGUGUGGGGAUGAACUUGGACGAGUGUGUCUGAAGUGUGGGGGUGAACUUGGAGGAGUGUGUCUGGAGUGUGUCUGGAGUGUGUCUAGAGUGUGGGGGUCAACUUGGAGGAGUGUGUCUGAAGUGUGUCUAAGAACGUGGGGGUGAACUUGGACGAGUGUGUCUGAAGUGUGGGGGUGAACUUGGACGAGUGUGUCUGGAGUGUGUCUAGAGUGUGGAGGUGAACUUGGAGGAGUGUGUCUAGAGUGUGUCUAGAGUGUGAGGGUGAACUUGGACGAGCGUGUCUGGAGUGUGGGGGUGAACUUGGAGGAGUGUGUCUGGAGUGUGUCUAGAGUGUGGGGGUGAACUUGGAGGAGUGUGUCUGAAGUGUGUCUAAGAACGUGGGGGUGAACUUGGACAAGUGUGUCUGAAGUGUGGGGGUGAACUUGGACGAGUGUGUCUGGAGUGUGGAGGUGAACUUGGAGGAGUGUGUCUGGAGUGUGGAGGUGAACUUGGGGGAGUGUGCUGCUCGAGAUAAGAGAGAUAGGUGGAACCCUCCAGAGAGUCCCCCCGGGGGGAGUGUGUAUGUUCAUG